rnacentral:rRNA from 1 species
UACAGAGGGGGCAAGCGUUGUUCGGAAUUACAGGGCGUAAAGGGCGCGUAGGCGGCCUGUUAAGUCGAACGUGAAAUCCCCGGGCUCAACCCGGGAACUGCGUCCGAUACUGGCAGGCUUGAAUCCGGGAGAGGGAUGCGGAAUUCCAGGUGUAGCGGUGAAAUGCGUAGAUAUCUGGAGGAACACCGGUGGCGAAGGCGGCAUCCUGGACCGGCAUUGACGCUGAGGCGCGAAAGCGUGGGGAGCGAACAGG